AGGACGACAUACCGCAGAAGGUCCACCUCAACAGUUUUGGUUUCUAUGAAAACGGCUCUAUGAGCGUGAAGGUUAACAGCCUCUCAAUAAAAAGCAACACGGAUCUCUCCAAACUAGACAACAGCACGUUUGGAUUCAGCCUGGACAGGACAAAGAACGAUGGCUUUUCCACCUACCUGGAUCAGGAAGUGCGGGACUGCAUCCUGAAGCAUACGCCAGAGAGCGUUUCCGUAACGCUGCUGAAAC